AGCGUACACGGUGGAUGCCCUGGCAGUCAGAGGCGAUGAAGGACGUGCUAAUCUGCGAUAAGCGUCGGUAAGGUGAUAUGAACCGUUAUAACCGGCGAUUUCCGAAUGGGGAAACCCAGUGUGAUUCGUCACACUAUCAUUAACUGAAUCCAUAGGUUAAUGAGGCGAACCGGGGGAACUGAAACAUCUAAGUACCCCGAGGAAAAGAAAUCAACCGAGAUUCCCCCAGUAGCGGCGAGCGAACGGGGAGCAGCCCAGAGCCUGAAUCAGUGUGUGUGUUAGUGGAAGCGUCUGGAAAGGCGCGCGAUACAGGGUGACAGCCCCGUACACAAAAAUGCACAUGCUGUGAGCUCGAUGAGUAGGGCGGGACACGUGGUAUCCUGUCUGAAUAUGGGGGGACCAUCCUCCAAGGCUAAAUACUCCUGACUGACCGAUAGUGAACCAGUACCGUGAGGGAAAGGCGAAAAGAACCCCGGCGAGGGGAGUGAAAAAGAACCUGAAACCGUGUACGUACAAGCAGUGGGAGCACGCUUAGGCGUGUGACUGCGUACCUUUUGUAUAAUGGGUCAGCGACUUAUAUUCUGUAGCAAGGUUAACCGAAUAGGGGAGCCGAAGGGAAACCGAGUCUUAACUGGGCGUUAAGUUGCAGGGUAUAGACCCGAAACCCGGUGAUCUAGCCAUGGGCAGGUUGAAGGUUGGGUAACACUAACUGGAGGACCGAACCGACUAAUGUUGAAAAAUUAGCGGAUGACUUGUGGCUGGGGGUGAAAGGCCAAUCAAACCGGGAGAUAGCUGGUUCUCCCCGAAAGCUAUUUAGGUAGCGCCUCGUGAAUUCAUCUCCGGGGGUAGAGCACUGUUUCGGCAAGGGGGUCAUCCCGACUUACCAACCCGAUGCAAACUGCGAAUACCGGAGAAUGUUAUCACGGGAGACACACGGCGGGUGCUAACGUCCGUCGUGAAGAGGGAAACAACCCAGACCGCCAGCUAAGGUCCCAAAGUCAUGGUUAAGUGGGAAACGAUGUGGGAAGGCCCAGACAGCCAGGAUGUUGGCUUAGAAGCAGCCAUCAUUUAAAGAAAGCGUAAUAGCUCACUGGUCGAGUCGGCCUGCGCGGAAGAUGUAACGGGGCUAAACCAUGCACCGAAGCUGCGGCAGCGACGCUUAUGCGUUGUUGGGUAGGGGAGCGUUCUGUAAGCCUGCGAAGGUGUGCUGUGAGGCAUGCUGGAGGUAUCAGAAGUGCGAAUGCUGACAUAAGUAACGAUAAAGCGGGUGAAAAGCCCGCUCGCCGGAAGACCAAGGGUUCCUGUCCAACGUUAAUCGGGGCAGGGUGAGUCGACCCCUAAGGCGAGGCCGAAAGGCGUAGUCGAUGGGAAACAGGUUAAUAUUCCUGUACUUGGUGUUACUGCGAAGGGGGGACGGAGAAGGCUAUGUUGGCCGGGCGACGGUUGUCCCGGUUUAAGCGUGUAGGCUGGUUUUCCAGGCAAAUCCGGAAAACUAAGGCUGAGGCGUGAUGACGAGGCACUACGGUGCUGAAGCAACAAAUGCCCUGCUUCCAGGAAAAGCCUCUAAGCAUCAGGUAACAUCAAAUCGUACCCCAAACCGACACAGGUGGUCAGGUAGAGAAUACCAAGGCGCUUGAGAGAACUCGGGUGAAGGAACUAGGCAAAAUGGUGCCGUAACUUCGGGAGAAGGCACGCUGAUAUGUAGGUGAAGUCCCUCGCGGAUGGAGCUGAAAUCAGUCGAAGAUACCAGCUGGCUGCAACUGUUUAUUAAAAACACAGCACUGUGCAAACACGAAAGUGGACGUAUACGGUGUGACGCCUGCCCGGUGCCGGAAGGUUAAUUGAUGGGGUUAGCGCAAGCGAAGCUCUUGAUCGAAGCCCCGGUAAACGGCGGCCGUAACUAUAACGGUCCUAAGGUAGCGAAAUUCCUUGUCGGGUAAGUUCCGACCUGCACGAAUGGCGUAAUGAUGGCCAGGCUGUCUCCACCCGAGACUCAGUGAAAUUGAACUCGCUGUGAAGAUGCAGUGUACCCGCGGCAAGACGGAAAGACCCCGUGAACCUUUACUAUAGCUUGACACUGAACAUUGAGCCUUGAUGUGUAGGAUAGGUGGGAGGCUUUGAAGUGUGGACGCCAGUCUGCAUGGAGCCGACCUUGAAAUACCACCCUUUAAUGUUUGAUGUUCUAACGUUGACCCGUAAUCCGGGUUGCGGACAGUGUCUGGUGGGUAGUUUGACUGGGGCGGUCUCCUCCUAAAGAGUAACGGAGGAGCACGAAGGUUGGCUAAUCCUGGUCGGACAUCAGGAGGUUAGUGCAAUGGCAUAAGCCAGCUUGACUGCGAGCGUGACGGCGCGAGCAGGUGCGAAAGCAGGUCAUAGUGAUCCGGUGGUUCUGAAUGGAAGGGCCAUCGCUCAACGGAUAAAAGGUACUCCGGGGAUAACAGGCUGAUACCGCCCAAGAGUUCAUAUCGACGGCGGUGUUUGGCACCUCGAUGUCGGCUCAUCACAUCCUGGGGCUGAAGUAGGUCCCAAGGGUAUGGCUGUUCGCCAUUUAAAGUGGUACGCGAGCUGGGUUUAGAACGUCGUGAGACAGUUCGGUCCCUAUCUGCCGUGGGCGCUGGAGAACUGAGGGGGGCUGCUCCUAGUACGAGAGGACCGGAGUGGACGCAUCACUGGUGUUCGGGUUGUCAUGCCAAUGGCACUGCCCGGUAGCUAAAUGCGGAAGAGAUAAGUGCUGAAAGCAUCUAAGCACGAAACUUGCCCCGAGAUGAGUUCUCCCUGACUCCUUGA
rnacentral:rRNA from 1 species